AACGAACGCUGGCGGCAGGCCUAACACAUGCAAGUCGAACGGUUGUAGCAAUACAGCCGUGGCGCACGGGUGAGUAACGCGUGGGAAUCUGCCCAGUAGUACGGAAUAACAGUUGGAAACGACUGACAAUACCGUAUACGCCCUUCGGGGGAAAGUUUUACGCUAUUGGAUGAGCCCGCGUCAGAUUAGCUAGUUGGUGGGGUAAUGGCCUACCAAGGCGACGAUCUGUAGCUGUCCUGAGAGGAAGACCAGCCACACUGGAACUGAGACACGGUCCAGACUCCUACGGGAGGCAGCAGUGGGGAAUAUUGGACAAUGGGCGAAAGCCUGAUCCAGCCAUGCCGCGUGAGUGAUGAAGGCCUUAGGGUUGUAAAGCUCUUUUGGCGGGGAAGAUAAUGACGGUACCCGCAGAAUAAGUUCCGGCUAACUUCGUGCCAGCAGCCGCCGUAA
rnacentral:rRNA from 1 species